rnacentral:rRNA from 1 species
UACAGAGGUGGCAAUCGUUGUUCGGAAUUACUGGGCGUAAAGGGCGCGUAGGCGGCCUUCUCAGUCAGACGUGAAAUCCCCCGGCUUAACCUGGGAACUGCGUCUGAUACUGGAAGGCUCGAGUAUGGGAGAGGGAUGUAGAAUUCCAGGUGUAGCGGUGAAAUGCGUAGAUAUCUGGAGGAAUACCGGUGGCGAAGGCGGCAUCCUGGACCAUUACUGACGCUGAGGCGCGAAAGCUAGGGGAGCAAACGGG